UUAAAUGUGAAGUUGUUCAUAUGGAUGGAGAUUAAAACAGAAGUGAAAAUGUGUCAGUUUUCAUUGAAAGCUGGGGUUUUUGCUCUGGUUAAAGAGUCUGUGGAUUUUUUACACAACAUUUACAUACACAUAUAACACAGCAUGUCGGCAUUGAGUGUAUAGGGCAAGAGUGGCCUUUCUUGCCUUUUCCAAAACGUUCGAUUUGAAGUUCAAUUUCCUGUCCAGCAACACACCCAGAUUCUCCAACUCCUUCAUGAUCG